ensembl:lncRNA
UUCCACUCUCAAAGCUGCCUGCCUGUGAAGGUGCAGCACGCUCCCUCCCCCUCCAUGUCUCUCCAAGCAGCAGGAAAACAGGGCUUACCAAGCAGGAUGCACAUUCUUGAACUGCUUUUUGCCUGCCUCACAGUAACUUGAACCAGCAUAAUCAUUUGCAGAUCUGUUCUGGCAUUGUCAAAAAUGCAUCCACGGUGGCACGCAGCAGUCAGGAAACCAAGGCGCUGGGGCACUUACAGGAAUGGCCUUUAAACACUGCAUAACCAAGCAUAGUUCAAUAAACACAGACAGGGAAAAAAAACCAGGAAAAUCAGCCCUGAACUGUGCACUGCAUCUGCACUGCUAACCUCAUAGUGCUCAGCACCUUCCCCUCCUUCAGCCCACACACCUCCUGUGACCCCUCGCUAUGCUCCCCGUGGCCCGGAGCACCGUCAGCGACCAGCAAGGAAGCUGCAGCUGGGCUGUGCCACCUGAAAUAAGAAACAGAAGUCUUGAUCACUGGAGGCAAAGAGGUUUCAGGACUAUGGGAGUGCACGGUGGGAGGAACCUGACUCUAUAAGAAGGCACUGCAGUAAGGCCCCACUAUUUCCUCCUUGCCAAAUAGCGAAAUUCAAAGUGCCACCUCCCAGGCCCGUGCCUCCUGGGCUGAAUUGCAGACAGCCCUGUCCACAGCGUGGUCCCUGUAAUGCUGCUGGUGCCCCAGGCAGCAUGCUUGCUGCUGUCCGCCCCGGUGGCCUGAGGCCUUCACAAACGGUGCUCCCAACCAUAGGGCUGUGGCCUACAACCCCAAGCUGCAGCUACACCAUUACACAGUGUGAGCACAGCACCAUUUCACAAUCACCCUUUGCACGUGCACACUUGUUUUUCUGGGGAACAGGCCACUUCUACCGGGCUUGAGUGAGUGAGCUUCACAUCGUCCGAAGUGCUGAGCACAGAAACAAUCCUGUUGGACUCCACAGCACCCAUAAUGCUGAAUGGUUACCCUCACUGCACUGCCCCCCACCACAACAGGGUCAGCUUUUCAGAAAGCAUGCAUAUGCAACAGAAGGCGACUGUUAGUUGUGUGUUCACCCCAAGUGUCUGCACCCCUCCUUUCCUCUUCCAUGUCUGUUUUGAUUGGCCAGGAAGAAAAACACAUUGGCAUGGGAUUGAUCCAUUGUCUGAGGUUAGGAGCUCUGUACUUGAGGGAGGGGGGAGGAAUGCUGGAUUUAAGCAGCCUGACCCAGGCCAGAAGGGGCUUUGGGAGUUGAUGUAGUGCAAUCCCAACACCGUGCCCUGGAAUAAGCCUCAGUGGCACGCUGCAUCAGGUUGCUGAUGGCCUUCUCAGGCUGCUGCCAGAGCAUGCUCAAGGAUGGAGGUUCUCCAAAAAUCCGGGUCCCUGUUGAGCAAGGGGCCAGCCAUAUUCUGAAAGAAGUUACUGCACCCAUUUGAGGACCUAUUUGCACCUUCUGAUACCUGUUUUUAACGUGUAUUCUAUUCUAUACGACACUUUACACUGAAGUCACUCCAGCACAAAUUCCCAUCUAUUCUACUGAAUGAAAUGGGGUGAGAAUGGCACAGAAACUGCGUAGCACUUGAUGCUCUGCAGGUUCUUGGUGCAGUAAAAGACAUCCCCACCCCAAUGCACAGCUAAGAGCUGGCUACCAGCACCUCUGUAGCAAUACUUAGAACAGCACGUAUGCAUCGAGUUACUGAAGUUGCCAGAUUAUUUGCCAUCUUUUCCAGAACUUGUUUCAUAUCUCAUCAGUGCACACGAAAGAUGUAUAUAGAGAAGCUUUAUAGAAAUUUGUAAGUGCCAAAACGGACUUCUCUGGCCAAACAGCAACCCAGUGGAAGAAAAGGUUUUUAUUUAUGGCAGAGAGAAUUACAUUCUCCCUGAGACUGCCUAUCAGUAGUAUUCUUAAUAAGUGGCUUCAGUUGGGAUCCUGCUCAUGUAAGGAACACUUGGAGAGAGGAUCUGACUCCCUAUGCAAGACUGAAAUCAGGUAUAAAAGUUGAUCGCACUGAAAGAGUGGAAACCUUGUAACAUAGCAGGUGGAUUUGCAGCACUAAUUAACAGGUAAGAAUCCAACUUGCUUUGCUCAGCAUAACCACACCCCCACAUCUGUACACCCAUUCGUGCAUCUGCACGGGAUUUCAUCAAGAAACGACAUCCUUGUUUCCUACCCGGUACCAACUUCACCAACACAGAACCUGUUACUCCCUGAAUGAACCGUGUGUCUGAUCUCAUGUGACCUCCACUGAUAUCUAACAAACACACACUCAAGUCACCUCAUCUCCUAAAUCCUUGCUGAAUAAAUGGUAAAGUGUACGUGUGCUAUUAAGUAGUAGCAGAGUAACCGACCCUGCAUUUCCCUCAUCUUUCACCUGGAUUUUCAAUGGAGGUAUUCAGCAUUGUACUGUCAAGUAGAAUUGUCAGAGAGAGUGCAUGCAAAGGACACAAGCUUUACAAGCUUUCUGGGUGUGCACGUUAGGUGAUGACCUUGUGGACCUCCCCGAACUCAUCAUAAUGGGGUUUUCUGGCAUAGGAGCACCAGGUUAAGUACAGCUUCUGUCAAGCUUUCUGAGCGUAUCAGACAGAACCAUCUCAGAUUCACAAGUCCACCUGAAGCAUGACCAAGCAGAGACACAAAACUGCAGCACUCACCUCCCCUCCUUUGGAGAUGAACCCUCUACGUGACCAGAAACAGGCAUUUUCAUGCCAAAAAAAACCCCCCCACAAAAACAAAACCCAAACCAAACUGAAAAAUCUUACCUAAGUUCCUGCACUGAGUCUGAACAGCAACCGCUCAGCUCGACCCAGGGGUUGUUGGGUGGUCCUGGUUGUUCCCAGCUGUGUCUGCCCUCCUCCCUCCUGUAGCUGAGUGCAUGGGAAAAUUCUUGUGGAAAGCAGCUGUGUCUCCUAAUGAGCAAAGCCUGGGCAGACUCCACUCAAGCGACGCAUGGGUUUAUGUGAACCAGUCACAAGAAUGGCUUGCACUGAAGCUGCUGUUCGAACCAAGAGAACAAGUGGCUGCUAAUAACUCACUUUCUACCUUUUAAAGAAAAAAAAUCUCCAUUUUGUAUAACCAGGCUGGAAUAAUAGUCACAUGGACACACUGGAAAAAACAAUGCUUCCACUUAGGAUAGCAUCAAAAGCAGUACAAAUCAUUUUCGACAUUUAAAUCGGGUUCAAAGACAUUCGUUCCCAUAGAGCCGAACACUCCCAAGAAGCAACGUUUAGGAUCUAUGAUUCCAUCAUCUUUAAGAUCUGCACCUGAAGAGCUGUGGGGUGCAGGGAGGUGAAAGCCCUUCUUGAAUCUGGCCUCGUUCAUGGCCUUGCUGUGGGCAACCGCGGCUGUCUGGGCACUGCCUGCAUCUGGUUGGAGCUCCCCAAAGCUCUCAGCAAGCCAGGCCUCCACGGCAGUCAUCUGUGAGAAAUGGGCAUCCAAAGGAAUCCUGGACACAGACUGAGAACACCGCAUCUCUUCGGACGCCUGAAGACAGAAAUGAGCUUUUCUAAAGUUCUUUCAUCUUUUGCUAUAUAGAAAAAGAAGAAUGUUGUCAGCAUUUGUGAGGUGCUACAGCUUACAGCAAAUCCCACUUCUGAUGUUACUCUUACUGCUACAACUGUCUUCAAAUCUCGCUGUCUGCCUACAAAUGAGGGUUAUGGGGUGGCAGCACGUUGUCACAGCAAAUACAGGACAGCACCAAGUCCAAAGGCUGUAAGAAUGAAGUUAUUCUGGCUUCAUUCAGCUGCUAGAGCCUCACCUGCGCCUGCAGUGACUCCAGUUUUCUGCCUAAGCCAGCAGGACCUGCGCUGCCACUGACACACAGUGCUACAUCAGCCUAAGAAGAUCUCAGCCACAACAUCCUAUACAAAUAGAAGGUCCCUAUCUCCAGUGCUCCUGCCCAAGUAAGGCCGUAGUAUCAAGUUUUCAGGGCAGGGAAUCGGUGUUCAAAGCAGUGCAGACAGAUCAAUGCAGCUCCUUUCAGAGCUCAGCUAGUGUAAGAAGACAGUCAAAAACACGGCCUGGCAGAAGCCAGAACGCAUCCCCACGUCUUUCUGCUGCCCAGAGAUAGGGGGAGGUGGGAGGACGACCUCCUGUGCACUCAGGAACAGCAGCAGCGUGGGCUUCACUUGCCUUUACAUUCACAGCUGCCUAUUUUGGGCUCGGGAAAGCCCAAAGGGGUCUCCUGCUUGGCCAUGCAGCAAUCACGGCUUCCCCUGCCUCGGGAUUAACACUGCACACCAUGUUCCAUUUCUCAGCACAGCUCCCAUGCUUCCUUCACAAGCUACAUUACUGAAAUCCCACGGCUUUGGCAAUGCUGGUACUAUUAGCAAGUAGAGGCUGCUUGUUCUUUCUGCCUAACUGCCACUUUUGUCCCUGCAACCACUCCACCCUGGUGUGCAUGGUGAGCUUCUCUUUUGCACAACUUUGCUACCAAAGCAGCUCUCUGUUUUACAGCCUGUGCAAAUAAGAUACCCAUAUACUGACCCCGGACUUGUAUACCUUUGUGUGUGACUGUUUACAUAUAUAUUUGUGAGUUGGGAAAUAAACAAGUUAUCAACUUUACUCCUGUCUGAUUCUGUCAUCUUCCUGUAACAUAUCAAUUGCUGUGGAUACAAAAUGAGCCUCUA